rnacentral:rRNA from 1 species
UUAGCCGACGGGGGGCAGCAGUGAGGAAUAUUGGUCAAUGGGCGCGAGCCUGAACCAGCCAAGUAGCGUGAAGGAUGACUGCCCUACGGGUUGUAAACUUCUUUUAUAAAGGAAUAAAGUGAGGCACGUGUGCCUUUUUGUAUGUACUUUAUGAAUAAGGAUCGGCUAACUCCGUGCCAGCAGCCGCGGUAAUACGGAGGAUCCGAGCGUUAUCCGGAUUUAUUGGGUUUAAAGGGUGCGCAGGCGGUCUGUUAAGUCAGCGGUCAAAGCCCGGGGCUCAACCCCGGCCCGCCGUUGAAACUGGG